rnacentral:rRNA from 1 species
UACGUAGGUGGCAAGCGUUGUCCGGAUUUACUGGGCGUAAAGAGCGCGCAGGCGGUCGUUCAAGUCGAGUGUGAAAGCCCCCGGCUCAACUGGGGAGGGUCACUCGAUACUGAUCGACUCGAAGGCAGAAGAGGGAAGCGGAAUUCCCGGUGUAGUGGUGAAAGUGCGUAGAUAUCGGGAGGAACACCAGUGGCGAAGGCGGCGUCCUGGCUCGGCAUCUGACGCUCAGACACGACAGCAUGGGGAGCGAACGGG